GGUUAAGCGACCAAGCGUACACGGUGGAUGCCCUGGCAGUCAGAGGCGAUGAAGGACGUGCUAAUCUGCGAUAAGCGCCGGUAAGGUGAUAUGAACCGUUAUAACCGGCGAUUUCCGAAUGGGGAAACCCAGUGUGACUCGUCACACUAUCAUUAACUGAAUCCAUAGGUUAAUGAGGCGAACCGGGGGAACUGAAACAUCUAAGUACCCCGAGGAAAAGAAAUCAACCGAGAUUCCCCCAGUAGCGGCGAGCGAACGGGGAGGAGCCCAGAGCCUGAAUCAGCAUGUGUGUUAGUGGAAGCGUCUGGAAAGGCGCGCGAUACAGGGUGACAGCCCCGUACACAAAAGCGCACAUGCUGUGAGCUCGAUGAGUAGGGCGGGACACGUGGUAUCCUGUCUGAAUAUGGGGGGACCAUCCUCCAAGGCUAAAUACUCCUGACUGACCGAUAGUGAACCAGUACCGUGAGGGAAAGGCGAAAAGAACCCCGGCGAGGGGAGUGAAACAGAACCUGAAACCGUGUACGUACAAGCAGUGGGAGCACAGGUUUACCUGUGUGACUGCGUACCUUUUGUAUAAUGGGUCAGCGACUUAUAUUCUGUAGCAAGGUUAACCGAAUAGGGGAGCCGAAGGGAAACCGAGUCUUAAUUGGGCGUUAAGUUGCAGGGUAUAGACCCGAAACCCGGUGAUCUAGCCAUGGGCAGGUUGAAGGUUGGGUAACACUAACUGGAGGACCGAACCGACUAAUGUUGAAAAAUUAGCGGAUGACCUGUGGCUGGGGGUGAAAGGCCAAUCAAACCGGGAGAUAGCUGGUUCUCCCCGAAAGCUAUUUAGGUAGCGCCUCGUGAAUUCAUCUCCGGGGGUAGAGCACUGUUUCGGCUAGGGGGCCAUCCCGGCUUACCAACCCGAUGCAAACUGCGAAUACCGGAGAAUGUUAUCACGGGAGACACACGGCGGGUGCUAACGUCCGUCGUGAAGAGGGAAACAACCCAGACCGCCAGCUAAGGUCCCAAAGUCAUGGUUAAGUGGGAAACGAUGUGGGAAGGCCCAGACAGCCAGGAUGUUGGCUUAGAAGCAGCCAUCAUUUAAAGAAAGCGUAAUAGCUCACUGGUCGAGUCGGCCUGCGCGGAAGAUGUAACGGGGCUAAACCAUGCACCGAAGCUGCGGCAGCGACACUGUGUGUUGUUGGGUAGGGGAGCGUUCUGUAAGCCGUUGAAGGUGUGUCGUGAGGCAUGCUGGAGGUAUCAGAAGUGCGAAUGCUGACAUAAGUAACGAUAAAGCGGGUGAAAAGCCCGCUCGCCGGAAGACCAAGGGUUCCUGUCCAACGUUAAUCGGGGCAGGGUGAGUCGACCCCUAAGGCGAGGCCGAAAGGCGUAGUCGAUGGGAAACGGGUUAAUAUUCCCGUACUUGGUGUUACUGCGAAGGGGGGACGGAGAAGGCUAUGUUGGCCGGGCGACGGUUGUCCCGGUUUAAGCGUGUAGGUGUGUGUUCCAGGUAAAUCCGGUUCACUUUAACACUGAGGCGUGACGACGAGGCACUACGGUGCUGAAGCAACAAAUGCCCUGCUUCCAGGAAAAGCCUCUAAGCAUCAGGUAACAUCAAAUCGUACCCCAAACCGACACAGGUGGUCAGGUAGAGAAUACCAAGGCGCUUGAGAGAACUCGGGUGAAGGAACUAGGCAAAAUGGUGCCGUAACUUCGGGAGAAGGCACGCUGACACGUAGGUGAAGUGAUUUACUCAUGGAGCUGAAGUCAGUCGAAGAUACCAGCUGGCUGCAACUGUUUAUUAAAAACACAGCACUGUGCAAACACGAAAGUGGACGUAUACGGUGUGACGCCUGCCCGGUGCCGGAAGGUUAAUUGAUGGGGUCAGCGCAAGCGAAGCUCCUGAUCGAAGCCCCGGUAAACGGCGGCCGUAACUAUAACGGUCCUAAGGUAGCGAAAUUCCUUGUCGGGUAAGUUCCGACCUGCACGAAUGGCGUAAUGAUGGCCAGGCUGUCUCCACCCGAGACUCAGUGAAAUUGAACUCGCUGUGAAGAUGCAGUGUACCCGCGGCAAGACGGAAAGACCCCGUGAACCUUUACUAUAGCUUGACACUGAACAUUGAGCCUUGAUGUGUAGGAUAGGUGGGAGGCUUUGAAGCGUGGACGCCAGUCUGCGUGGAGCCGACCUUGAAAUACCACCCUUUAAUGUUUGAUGUUCUAACGUGGACCCGUGAUCCGGGUUGCGGACAGUGUCUGGUGGGUAGUUUGACUGGGGCGGUCUCCUCCUAAAGAGUAACGGAGGAGCACGAAGGUUGGCUAAUCCUGGUCGGACAUCAGGAGGUUAGUGCAAUGGCAUAAGCCAGCUUGACUGCGAGCGUGACGGCGCGAGCAGGUGCGAAAGCAGGUCAUAGUGAUCCGGUGGUUCUGAAUGGAAGGGCCAUCGCUCAACGGAUAAAAGGUACUCCGGGGAUAACAGGCUGAUACCGCCCAAGAGUUCAUAUCGACGGCGGUGUUUGGCACCUCGAUGUCGGCUCAUCACAUCCUGGGGCUGAAGUAGGUCCCAAGGGUAUGGCUGUUCGCCAUUUAAAGUGGUACGCGAGCUGGGUUUAGAACGUCGUGAGACAGUUCGGUCCCUAUCUGCCGUGGGCGCUGGAGAAUUGAGGGGGGCUGCUCCUAGUACGAGAGGACCGGAGUGGACGCAUCACUGGUGUUCGGGUUGUCAUGCCAAUGGCACUGCCCGGUAGCUAAAUGCGGAAGAGAUAAGUGCUGAAAGCAUCUAAGCACGAAACUUGCCCCGAGAUGAGUUCUCCCUGAGACUUAAAGUCUCCUGAAGGAACGUUAAAGACGAUGACGUUGAUAGGCCGGGUGUGUAAGCGCAGCGAUGCGUUGAGCUAACCGGUACUAAUGAACCGUGAGGCUUAACCUU
rnacentral:rRNA from 1 species